AGCUCAGCGAUCGAGGUGUGGGCCGCGCAGCGCGGAAUGGAAGCGCGGGGAGUGCUCGGCGGAGGCCCGGGGUGCAGCGGGAUCGCCGGCUGAGGCCCGGGGAGGUUUAUUCACCCCGAGUCCAGCCCUCCAUUUUGUUGUUGUCAGAUAAGUACUCACUAUGUAGUCUGGACUGGUCUUGAACUCAUGACCUCCUGUCUCUGCUUCCAGGUGCUGGAAUGACAGAUGAUGGAUAUGAACUGCACAUGACUUUUAUCUACCUCACAAGUGUCAAUCACCUUUAUCUUGAUAUUUCAGAUAUCACCUUUAGUAGAAGAGGAAGAUUUUAUUUAUUUAUUUAUUUAUUUAUUUAUUUAUUCCAUAUAUGUGAGUACACUGUCACUGUCUUCAGCCACACCAGAAGAGGGCAUUGGAUCCCAUUACAGACGGUUGUGAGCCACCAUGCGGUUGCUGGGAUUUGAACUCAGGACUUAUGGAAGAGCAGUCUGUGUUCUUAACCACUGAGCCAUCUCUCCAGCCCAGAAGAGGAAGAUUUAAUUCAUUUCUGGAAUCUUGGGCUACUGAGUCCCUACUUCCUGUCCCAUUUAUCUAUUUAUUUAAUAUAUUCUGAGACAGGUUCUGACCAUGUCACUCUUGUUGGCCUCAAACACCUUAUGUAGAUCAGGUUGGCCUUGAACUCACAGAGAUCUGCUUGCUUCUAUUGCCCGAAUCUUUGACCUUCAUGCCCAGGGUUUCCCUGAAGUUAGCACUUGUCCGUGAGUUCUGUGGUUGGAGUGUUCAUGAUCUACGAUUUGUCCCUAUUGAACAUGCUGAACCCACUCUCCAGGGAUUUGGAGGACACCAGGCAAGUGUGGAACCAGAACUCUGGCAUUGGAAAGGAGAAGAGACAGCUCUGAAACUGACUGCUCACCAGCUGGGUGGGCCAGGAACCUCGAGGAUUUAAUUUAAAACAGUACCAGUUAUUGAGUCUCUUGGACGUCCUGCAGAAGCAAAUGGAAACGUUCUAUGGGGAAACCACUUCGAAUUCCAACAGAUACCUUCUAAGGAAGACGAGAAAUGGCUUAAGGUUAAAAAAAUAUGAGGGAAUAGAUCCGAGUUCAAAAACAGCAGAGCGAGCGGCGGCAGAGACCUCAGCUCUCAGGAGUGGCGUGUGCGUCAUGAAAGCUUCAUAUGUUUAAAGAAAUGAAUGAUGAGCGUGCUUAUAUAGAUGAAAAGAAAAAAAAAAAAGACUAGAAACCACCCAAGCAGAUUUCCAAAAGAGUCAAAUAGACAUCAUAAGUGAAAAAUAUGAUUACCGGUCAAACAAACAGAAAAUCUACUGACAGCCAGAGGAGAGUGUGUUGCAGCUAUAAGUUCCGUUGGCUAUCAUGAAAUAUGAGUGCAUGGAAAGGUGAUUGGUGGAGAAAUGACAAACCACAUGUAAUAAAAUGUGGAUGUAAAUCU
rnacentral:lncRNA from 1 species